GCGCCUGUAGCUCAGAUGGAUAGAGCAACGGACUUCUAAUCCGUAGGUCGCAGGUUCGAAUCCUGCCAGGCGCG
rnacentral:tRNA from 1 species